rnacentral:rRNA from 1 species
AUACGUAGGGAGCGAGCGUUGUCCGGAAUUACCGGGCGUAAAGGGCGCGUAGGCGGCGCUUCAAGUCGUCUGUCAAAUGGGAGGGCUUAACCCUUUUUCGCAGACGAAACUGGAGAGCUUGAGAAGCAGAGAGGCAAACAGAAUUCCUGGUGUAGCGGUGAAAUGCGUAGAUAUCAGGAAGAAUACCAGUGGCGAAGGCGGUUUGCUGGCUGCAUACUGACGCUGAAGCGCGAAAGCCAGGGGAGCAAACGGGAUUAGAUACCCCGGUAGUCCUGGCAGUAAACGAUGUAUGCUGGGUGUGAGACUAGCGAUAGUUUCGUGCCGAAGUUAACGCGAUAAGCAUACCGCCUGGGGAGUACGGUCGCAAGAUUGAAACUCAAAGGAAUUGACGGGG